rnacentral:rRNA from 1 species
UACGUAGGGUGCGAGCGUUAAUCGGAAUUACUGGGCGUAAAGCGUGCGCAGGCGGUUUUGUAAGCCAGAUGUGAAAGCCCCGGGCUUAACCUGGGAAUGGCAUUUGGGACUGCAAGGCUAGAGUGCGGCAGAGGGGACUGGAAUUCCUGGUGUAGCAGUGAAAUGCGUAGAUAUCAGGAGGAAUACCGAUGGCGAAGGCAGGUCUCUGGGCUGACACUGACGCUCAUGCACGAAAGCGUGGGGAGCAAACAGG